CUGGUAGCUCGUCGGGCUCAUAACCCGAAGGUCGUCGGUUCAAAUCCGGCUCCCGCAACCA
rnacentral:tRNA from 2 species